rnacentral:rRNA from 1 species
UUGGAGGGCAAGUCUGGUGCCAGCGGCCGCGGUAAUUCCAGCUCCAAUAGCGUAUAUUAAAGUUGUUGCAGUUAAAAAGCUCGUAGUUGAAUUUCGGGAUUGGCACAUCGGUCGUGCCUUAAGGGGCAUGAACUGGUGUAGCCAAUUUCUCACCUUCUGGAGAACCGCGAUGUCCUUAAUUGGGUGCCGCGAGGAACCAGGACCUUUACUUUGAAAAAAUUAGAGUGUUUAAAGCAGGCAUUUUGCUUGAAUACAUUAGCAUGGAAUAAUAAAAUAGGACGGAUGAUUCUAUUUUGUUGGUUUCUAGGACCACCGUAAUGAUUAAUAGGGAUAGUUGGGGGCAUUAGUAUUCAAUUGUCAGAGGUGAAAUUCUUGGAUUUAUUGAAGACUAACUACUGCGAAAGCAUUUGCCAAGGAUGUUUUCAUUAAUCAAGAACGAAAGCUAGGGGAUCGAAGACGAUCAGAUACCGUCGUAGUCUUAACCAUAAACUAUGCCGACUAGGAAUCAGACGAUGUUAAUUUUUUAAUGACUCGUUUGGCACCUUACGGGAAACCAAAGUGUUUGGGUUC